GGGUGUAUAACUCAGUUGGUUAGAGUGGUGGACUUUUAAUCCGAAGGUCUUGGGUUCAAGUCCCAAUACGCCUACAUUU
rnacentral:tRNA from 2 species